GUGGGGGGAGUGUUUUUCCUAAGAUGUGCUGGUUACAGCUGGUGUCGGCACACACUCAUUUUCAUACUGAGUGGCCAGGCAAGGGCACCAGAGGAGGACCACGUGCAUCCUCCUCCAGUGCCGGUGCUGGGCGCAGUGCUACUGGAUUUCAUGCACUGGUCGCAAAGGAGGGCUGCUCGCAGCAGGUUGACAGGAAGAUUGGCAUCCCUGGACCACAGCCCAAAGUCAAAGACUCCCCACAAUGUCCAAGAUGCCUUCCAGGAGACAAGGUAAACCACUCUCCCUGCACACCUUCAGAACCAUUAUUCUAAAAUCUAGAAUCCAGAUGAAUUUUAUCUUCCCUUUUCUCAAACCAGACUUGCGGCUAUCUGCCAAAAUCAAAAACAUGUGAAACUUAUUUAACACAGAUGUCUUUGCCUGCCAGUUCUCUCUCUCUCUUUCUUCCAGGGAUAAUUCACCUCCUGUUGGAAGAAGUGCCUAGUCCAAGGGAGAAAAUUAUGGCAUUCUGAAACAGAGCAGCAAUUUUAGGGAUAGAAAUUUUGCCAGCAGAACCUUCCAAGUGGCCUCUUGCCAACUGGUCUACGUAUAGGGCAGAACACAAUGAGGGCCAGAAGGUGGGGUUUUACACCUUUAAACUGAGAGUGUUGGUGUGGAACUGACCAUCUGGGCAGCAGCAGGAAUCCCAGGAAGCUGUUGGUUUCUAGGAGGAUGCCAUGUGCCUGGGCUGGCUCCCAGAAAGCAAAACUGUGCCUGAAUCAGUGUUCCCCAAAGGGCCCCUUGGAUUAUCCUAAAGAGCAUAGUAAUAAGAGGAUAAUCCAAAGAGGCAGUAAUAAGAGCAUUGUUUACAGAGUGUGGACAGGGUGAGGGAGACCAUGGGCAUAGCGUAGGACUCGGAAGGUAAUAACUGCCCCUAGGCCUGAAGGGACAAGGGAGGGAGGAGCUCUUGACGCCUGGAAGGAAAAGGUGGCUCAGAGCUGCUGCUUUGAAAAGACUAGAGUCCCUUGUGCAAGAAUGCAGUCUGUCCAGGAGACCCCACAGGGAGGGAGGCGGGGAAAUCUUCCUCCCUCUGCUCAUUUAUCCUAUGGGAGGAUGAACCCAUAGGAAAGCGUGAGGGCAGGCGAGCUUGUACUAGCACAUAGAGGUCCACCUCCUGGGCAGUGAGAGGGUGCAGGGUGGGCCUGGAGGGCAAACAGCCAGAUAUUCUUUUUCAUUUUUUAAAGGUUUAUUGACGUAUAGUUGAAUUACAAUGUUGUGACAAUUUCUGCUGUGCAACAAAGUGAUUCAGCUAUACAUAUACACACAUCCAUUCUU
rnacentral:lncRNA from 1 species